rnacentral:lncRNA from 1 species
ACACCUGCCUCGGCCUCCCAAAGUGUACUAAAUACAUUCUUUUUUAUUCUCUAUUCAAUUACAAUAUCUGCAGUUUUGUUGCUCUGGCUUAUCGUUUAUUAUCUGGCAACUUUUGCACAUUGUGGCUUAUUUAUUUGUGUGUAUUCUUUGAUUUUGUAUUAUGACCUGAUAUUCCUUGGAACUUUAUCAAACUUGGAAAUUCUUUGAGAACUAUGUAAAAAGUGUUUCCCUUUGAGGGGUGUUUUUAUUUGCUUUUGUUAGGUGCAUGGGAGCACUACCAAGCCAGAAUUGCUUAAAAUGAAAUUUUCUACUUGAGGUUUUUUUUUUUUUUUCUUGCCGCAUGGAUAGUGAGAAUUUCAGCCCAAAACAAUCAUGCUUCUCCACUUAAGAUUAGAAAUUAUCAAUGACUUUUUUUCCUCCCUGCUUUACUUAGGGCCAAAGCCAAAAACAGGCAUGUGUAGCCCCAUCAUUUACGUCUGCAAGGAGUUUGUUCUCCAGUUUAACCUCUGAAUGGGUCCUGGUUUUAUGUGAGUUCUAUGAUACAAUGUACCACGUGCAGGCCCCAGACUUUGUCUUCCAUCUCCUUCAUAAUGUAAUGUAGUCCAUGAGAAAGUGAUGUAGAUCACCAACACAAAUGAACACAUGCUUAUUCUGGUGGAUUUUCACUUUCCUGUCAUUUCUGGACUUCAGGGAAUUCCUUACUCUCUUAUAAAUGCAGCUGUGCAUUUAAAAAAUAUGUUUUGCAGAUUAUAUAGCAUUUUUCAUUGUGAUACACAGGCUUUUUGUUCUGUGUAUAUCUGGUCUACCAUAAUGCUUGUAAGGAAACACAUUUAAUCUUCUGUGAGGUAUAAUUUAUUAUUCCCAGGUUUUAUGUAGGAAUAUCUUAGGGUCACAGAGGUUAGGUGAUUUUUCCCAACACUGUAGAGAUACUAAGUGGUGGAGGUGAGGUUGAAAUAGGUCUAAACCCAAAGCCAAGGCACUUUUAAAAGAUUAAUAAAGUUUGUCGAAUGAUACUUGGACUAACUCCUGCCUGAAUUAAGCUAGAAAUUAAUAUAAGUUCUUUAAUUCAGUUAGGAAGAUCCCAAAUCAGAAACAAAUCAUAAUAAAAAUUGAGAUCAGGAAGCUUCCUGAGUGUAGCUCCUCAUAUCACUGUCCCACACAUAAGUACUGCCCCAUAUGGCAAUCGGGAGGCCCCAGGAAUGCUUGCUAGGGUCAGGCCCUGCUCCUCUAAGUUAGUUGAAAGCUCCCUCCCUACUCAGUGACUGCUCUCAUACUUCUUCACUGUAGCUGUUGGCUCUCAGAACAUGAUGCCCAAAGUAUAGCGCCUCGGUGUGCUGAGUACUUUGAACUGAAAGACAUUGGAAGGGCCUCCGAAGAAAGAUCUCUUUGACCUUCUCCUGCCCUCUUGUCUUUCAUGCUUCUUUCUCCCCUGGAGUGAACCAUGGAAACUAGAAUUCCUCUUCCGCAAGACAAUGAUAGAAACUAGAAGCCCUUUCCCCAAAGCAAGCCAUAAAACUUAGGAAGGUCACUCUCUCCCUUCUCCCUUCUCAUUUGAAGACCCUUAAUCCAGAGGAAUCCUGCCCCAUACUUGCAAAGAAGAAAUGCUACACAGAGAGUCCAAGAAGAAUUUGAACCCAGUCUAUUACCAUUAGAUCAUACUCUUGUCCAAACACAUCUCUACAGAGCUGCCCAUUCUUCAUGGAACCUAAGCACAAAAACAGUUUUCCCUGGAUCUUUGGGUCUUCAUUUCUGAAGGCUCUCAUAUCACAUAAAACUUUGAUUAAGUAAAUUUGUUAUGCUUUUCUCUUGUUAACUUGUCUUUUGUUAUAGGAGUGUCAGCCAUGACUCUUACAAUGAGUAAGGAGAGGUAUUACCUACCUCCUUUUACCCCUACAUGCUCUUGGAGCUGAUUAUCACAGUUUGUAAUUUUUCCACCUUCCAUUCCUGCUUCUGUGUAUUUUGAUAAAUUUUUGCAGGUCAGUAGACUUCCCAUGGCAGAAUAUUUCCUGCUUCUCACCAGCCCUUAAGCCAAUCCAAGGAAAACAAAAGAACAUCAUAAUGCUUUGUCAUAUGACAAGAUUACAAAAGCAGCAUCCAGUGGCAGAAUGCCCAACUGCUCCGGGACACAGCCAAUAGCUGACUUCAGUGCUCCCCAUCCCUGCUUGUCAGUGAUUAGUCUAAAUUGUUAUCACAAGCCCAGUCUGACCAAUGAAUGUGAGUGAGGGGCCAUUUUGAUUGUCAGCUCCUGAUUCUGCAGAAAACACGAAACUGAGCUGUACAAAGAUGCUGAUGAGGGGCUGCAGCAUGCAAUUCACUUCACCAGCAGUCACUAAGACUAGACUUGGACUAGAACUUUCACCAUUGGCUUACCUGGUUCUCAGACUUUUAGACUUGGACUGGGACUACACCAUCAACUUUCCUUGGUCUCCAGCUUGCAGACAACAGAUUAUGGGACUUGCCAGUCUCCAUAAUCAGAAGGCUUUGACAUAUCAAUGCACCAGGGAUCUUACCAAACUAAAUUUUAAGCACUUAUAGCUCAAGAUUCUCCCUCUGAGAUGAAACAUACUUCCACCCUGUCAUGUGUCAGCUUCAGAAGAUAUCAAUUGCUCAAGAAAGUGUUGGACAAGCAGAAAAGCACACUGAACAUUUCUGGACUUGUGAAAGAGCUCUGAAUAUGGAUCUCUCAGGGAUAUUCCAUCCCCACCAAUGCUUUACCAAUGCGAGAGCUGGCCAGGCUGAGACAUUUAAUGAUAACAUGGAACAAUUUAUUCAGGAAGAUAGUCAACUACUCAUGUGGCUUUAUGAUUAUAAAACCCACUGAAAAUUGGGUCCCUUGAUUCUCUUGAUUUUUCCUAAGCCUUACUCCCUAAAGUCUCCAAUUUGAUGAGGUAUUUGAUACUUGAUCUCUCCUUGAAGUAAAAUUUGGAGCAAAAUAUAUUGGACUGGAAGGCCUGAGACCUCGAUAAGAAGAAACAUGAACCCCAGAGCCACAGGUCAGGAGGUUUUCAUUAUAAUACUAUUGCCCUCUUAAAACAAAUACUCCAAUUGCCAAGGUUUCCUCACUUAAUAAUUUAUCUCAUAUGUGUUUUUGAAAGUUACUCUGAAUACUUCUUAUAUGUAUAAAUAAGUUAGUUAACAGUAAUUAAUGCAGAUAUUUAAAUAAAUACAAGCAGGCAGGUGGGAUGAUGACUACAGUCACUUGAUAAAGAACAGCUAGGUGGCCGGGCGCGGUGGCUCACACCUGUAAUCCCAGCAUUUUGGGAGGCUGAGGCGGGUGGAUCAUGAGGUCAAGAGUUCGAGACUAGCCUGGCCAACAUGAUGAAACCCCGCCUGUACUAAAAACACAAAAAUUAGCCGGGCGUGGUGGCAGGCGCCUGUAAUCCCAGCUACUCGGGAAGCCGAGGCAGAAUUGCUUGAAACCGGAAGGCGGAGGUUGCAGUGAGCCAAGAUCGGGCCACUACACUCCAGCCUGGGCGAAAGAGCAAAACUCCGUCUCAAAAAAAAAAAA